rnacentral:tRNA from 1 species
GCCGGGCUAGCUCAGUCGGUAGAGCAUGAAACUCUUAAUCUCAGGGUCAUGGGUCCAUGCCCCACA